GGAACGGAGUUGGUCCCCGCGCGCUGUGCGCUUCCCUAAGCUGUGGGCUGUGCACCUGGGACUCGGCUCAGACACUU
rnacentral:precursor_RNA from 1 species